UCGCUUUUUUGUGUUUUUAGCGGAAAAUCGGAUGAAAAACUCCAAAUGUUUACCAAAUGAGCGGCGACAAUUACGCGACCAAUUGACGAGAUCGUGUGUGUUUUUCCCAAUUAAACGGUGAGUGUGCGACAGAGAGAUAAAAUAUGCAGUCAAAUCCAAGUGCGGCAAAAAAAAUCAAAAGGUGAAAAAGUCAUUAAUAAAAAAAGAAAAGCAAAAUAGAAUUGCUCCGUGGAAUACAAAAAAAUACAUACAUAUAUACAAGGAGACGACGCGCAGCGAAAAAGGAAUUUUUUGUGUACUACGGCGGCGCUUUGUUGUUGUUGCUGGCGUCGUGCAUUUGCUUUUGUUUUGUGUACGUUGUUGUUGUUGCGUUUGCCAUCGCUCUGUGUUUUUGUGAUUUGAAAAAUACGAAAAGAAAGCAGGAAAACUUAGGAGAGAAAAAAACGAAACAAAUCGAAACAAAAUAAGAAAAUUGCCCAUUUUCGUUUUUCCUGGCUGAGGAAAGUGAAAAGUUUAAUUUACUAAACAAAGCGGCAAAACAGUGUGCGUGUGUGGGUGGCUGUGCCUAUGUGUGUGUAUGUGCGUGUGUCUCUCUAGUUUUUGCAAUUUCUACUUCACACGCUCUUUCGUGUUGGAUUAUUGGAUUAUACCGCCAAUAACGGCACACGCACAGCAACAACAGCCAAAAAAAAACAACAAAAUGCUAUAAAGGAGAGCAGACGACGCUGGGAUUAAUCAUUAAUGUCCUGAAAGAUAAAGAACGGGAGUCUAGAAGAAGAAGCAGCGGCAGACGAACAAGAAGAAGACGGCAAAUGUUCCAAAUAGUGCUGCCUUAGGACCAAAAGUCUAAAAUGUAAGUGCUCGAACGGAUUUUUCCAACCUCAAGGCAAAAGUGUUUGCGUGUGUGCGGAAAUCAAUUUAAAAUUUAUGCGACAUGGAUCUUGUCUAUUGGAUGUCAAGGUUUUGUUUGUUUUCUACUUUAUGUGAAACUCAUCAGCCAUUUAGGUAAAUUAAUUUAUUAUGCUGAAGGAUAAAAGCUUAGUCGUUAAAUUGCGAAACAUUAUUUAAUUAUCAGGUAUAUGGACUUUCCUUUUUAAGUGUUAUUUUACAGUUAGCUUGCGAAAAUAUUUUCUUUAUUUAUACAAUUAAUUUUCUUAAAAAAAUUGACUUUUGAUUAAAAGUCUUAUGACUACGGAAAUUAAGUCUUUUAAACACUCUUAGUGUCUGUAUUUGUUUAUUAUUAUAACCUAAACCUUAUUUAGUCAAUUGAUAAAACAAAUAUGCUCUAAUUUGCAAAGAUUUCUCAAACUUAAUGGUAGUCUAUAAAAUGAAAAAAUUCUCUAUGUUUCUUAGUGAAGAAUCUCUUCAGUCUUAAGAUUCUGAAAUGCAAUUAAGUUUCUCGGACCACCAAUCAACAUUCAACACUCUCUUCGAGAGUAAUAACUCAAAGAUAUUUUAACCCAUUUACCAUGAAUGGCAGUCGUUGGAGCUCGCAUUUAAUUGACUGAUUGCUGUUGAAAUUGCAUGCAUGUGUCAUCUAAAAAAAAUGGCUGAGAGCGAUUAAAAAAAAAAAACCUUUUCAUGUUUGCCGCGCUCUAAAUCACAAACACAUAAACCAAAUUUAAUUAAAAUCCACUCAGAACGGCAUCCGGAUUAUGUGCAUGUGUCCUCUUCUCUAUUAUUUCCAUUGAUUUAUUUUGCACACACUCAGUGGGUUUUUAUUUUAUAACAUUUUCAUUAAGAAAAACUGCAACUGAAACUCCACUUGCUGGGUGUUCCCAGUCGAAUAAACAUAAUUCCCAUGAUUUAUGGAUUUGGCACAAUGAAUAAACACUGGCAAAGUGCAGACUUUGUGCAAAAGAGAUCAGGAACACACGAGCAUUUAUUUUGUUGGGGCUCCAAUGUUGAUAUAUUAGCCAACAACAACUAUGUAUACAUGUUUAUUAUUAGCCAAAGGCUGGCCUCUAGAGAAAACGAAAAGAUCGGGGGACCUGGGACCUGGGACCGGCCUGCAAUCAUAAUAAAUGUUCAUUGAAACCUUUUAAAAAUCGCGCUGCCACAGCCGCCGCGCCUCAAUGAAGCACUGCAACAAUAAAUUUUAGCCACGAAGCCGGGCUCUCUAUACCAGCACAUAAACAUUAAUAAACUUGUUGCAAUCCAAAAGAUAAUUAGCCGUGGCUAGAGCUUGCAGUAACACCAGCGAACACCGGACAACAACCAACAGCGAACAACGAACAACGACGGCCACCGGCACACACAUCACAUAAAGCCACAAGACAAGAGCAGCAACAAUUUGCUAUUUAGUAUAAAGUUUCAUUAAAAACCCACUACGACUGACUGCACGGCCCAUCAUGCAGUUGUGUAUCUUAAAGAUACACAAUGGGCACAGAAGAGGGUACGCUUCGCAUCCCAUCCCAUCGCAUCGCAUCGCCUGCCUGCUGUCGAUCAUAAUUUAACAUAAAAAUGAUUUGAUUACUAUAAUUUCUUUUGUGUUUUGGUAUCACCUGGUAAGCUCAUUUACUACAACGGCAACGCCGCCUAUUACUCACACCGGGCCGCAGAUACCCGGGUCCGGUCUUGGGUCCUCGGUUUUGAGUUUUUGGUCUCAGUAUCGCACCGCGGACCUCACCGCAUGCAGCGUGUGUCGUUUUGUAUGGCCGAGAAGAACCAGAAAAAUGAAAAAACGAAGGCAAAGAUGAACAUAUCUCGUGGAGGAAAGGGAAAAGAGGUCCGAAAUGAAACUGCGGGAAGGCAGCACCCAGAGUUCCAUCAUCACACUGAGAAGAGUUUCUUAUAUAGUUAAAAA